rnacentral:rRNA from 1 species
GGCCAGACUCCUACGGGAGGCAGCAGUGGGGGAUAUUGCACAAUGGGGGGAACCCUGAUGCAGCGACGCCGCAUGGGUGAAGAAGUAUUUCGGUAUGUAAAGCCCUAUCGGCAGGGAAGAAAUUGGACGGUACCUGACUAAGAAGCCCCGGCUAACUACGUGCCAGCAGCCGCGGUAAUACGUAGGGGGCAAGCGUUAUCCGGAUUCACUGGGUGUAAAGGGAGCGUAGACGGCCAUGCAAGCCUGGAGUGAAAGCCCGGGGCCCAACCCCGGGACUGCUCUGGGAACUGUGCGGCUGGAGUGCGGGAGGGGCAGGCGGAAUUCCUGGUGUAGCGGUGAAAUGCGUAGAUAUCAGGAGGAACACCGGCGGCGAAGGCGGCCUGCUGGACCGCGACUGACGCUGAGGCGCGAAAGCGUGGGGAGCAAACAGGAUUAGAUACCCGAGUA